CGGGGAUUAGUUUAACGGUAGAAUACGCGGCUGGGGGCCGUGCGGCGACAGUUCAAUUCUGUCAUCCCCGACCA
rnacentral:tRNA from 1 species